AUGAAGAUUGUCUCCCGGAUUUUGACCACACGCCUGCAGGAGUUUAUUGAGCUACUCGUGUCCUUCGAGCAGUCCGGAUUUAUUGCUGGGAGAUGCAUUGCCGACAAUUUCUUGUAUGCUGCUGACUUGGUUCAGAGUUGUCGUCUCCGCAAAACACCCACGAUCGCCCUGAAGUUGGAUUUCAAAAAAGCCUUUGAUUCAGUCAGUUGGGACGCUCUGGAUAUAAUUAUGCAUGCUCGUGGCUUUGGCGAACGCUGGCGCACCUGGAUCCGCAAUAUCCUUGCCCCCGGCAAAACUGCGAUCUUGCUGAAUGGGGUGCCUGGUAGAUGGAUUCAGUGUAAAAAAGGAUUGCGCCAAGGGGACUCUUUGUCACCUUACCUUUUCUUGAUAGUUGCAGACCUCCUUCGCCAGUUGAUUGCCAAGGAUACCUCCCCCUCCAGGUUGCUACACCCGCUUGUCGACGACCUGCCGUGUCCUGUUAUUCAGUAUGCAGACGACACCCUCCUCUUGAUCCGUGCUGAUCAUGGACAACUCUCGCGACUGAAAUCUAUUCUGGAUGCAUUCUCUGCCGCCACGGGGCUUUCUAUCAACUUCCACAAGAGCACUUUCGUUCCGAUGGGCAUUGACCCCGUCCAUGCUGCCUCCUUGGCUGCUGAGCUUGGCUGUCCACUGUCGACGUUCCCCCAGACGUACCUCGGCUUACCUCUCUCCGAUGUCAAGCUCCCAGCUAGUGCCCUGGAAUUCUUGCCGAUCAAGAUUGAACGACGUAUCCCCGGAUGGCGCACACGUGGCCUCGACCCUGGGGGGCGUUUGACACUUACUUCUGCGGUGCUCUCUGCCAUCCCUACUCAUGCCAUGUCCGUACUCCCAAUCUCCAAGGGCACUGUGGCCAGGAUGGACCGCCCCCGUAGGGCCAUGUUCUAG
rnacentral:rRNA from 1 species